GGAGUGGGUUGCAAAAGAAGUAGGUAGCUUAACCUUCGGGAGGGCGCUUACCACUUUGUGAUUCAUGACUGGGGUGAAGUCGUAACAAGGUAACCGUAGGGGAACCUGCGGUUGGAUCACCUCCUUAUCUGAAAGAA
rnacentral:rRNA from 1 species